GGCAGAGGUAUAGCUCUGUCUUUUCCUAGGUGAUUGAUUGUGGAGAAAUCAUUGAACUUUAGAGUCUGUUUCUUUAUCUAGAAAAUGGAGACAAUAGUCUUGCUGGUGCAUUGGGGCAUUAAUUAUGGGGCAUUAUUGGGGCAUUAAUUAUGACAACAUUUACAGAAGCACUCCAUGAAUCACAAAGUGGAAACAGUGCUAAGUUCCUCAUCUUAUGAGAUGAGCCUUGCGUGGAAUAGGUUGUUCCUCACUGAGUUCUACUUUUCUUGGUCUUCAUAAGUUUCUCUUACAAUAAAAAUGGCCUCGCAGUCACCUUCAUGGGCAUAAGGCAGGAGGAUCCAGCCUGCUGGCCCUGAGAAGGGCAGAAAUGAUAGAGCAUGGGGCCACAUUUCCCACCCACAGGAAGUGUCCUGCCCUUGGCCCAGACCACCUGUGAUGUGCCAUGUGCUUCCCUUGCAUGCCCUGCCAACACCCAGACCACCAUGAGGAUGCCCCACCUUGUGGACCUACUACUGCUGCUGAUCUUCAGCUCCCACCUCUUCUUCUAGAACCUUGGACUGCAGCAAAUUACUGUGCUGGGUGAACAGGAGAUUCAGGAACCCCUCACCCAAACAGAAGACGUCAGCAGGCUCCAGUCAGUGUGAAGUGUCCUGACCCAGGAGCACUCAGCACAUACACGUGAGGUGAAGUCACUUUAACGGUCUGAGGAUCAAGGAGUGCUCUACAUGAAAGUCUGCAAGAUGAGCAAAGGGGUGUGAAACUGGCCAAGGUUCUGGAUUUCACUUCCAGAGAGCUGAUGCUCACUGCAGAAAACCCAGAAAAUACUGACAGGCAAGAAAAAGACAAAAAGUGAUGAAAUCCCACUUGCUCAGAAAGAACCAUUGGCAAGCCCUGUGCCCAUUUUCCAGAUGCUGUGCUGGGCAUGCAUGGAACAUUCACUCCUUUAAAGUUCAUUGAUAGAUACUGUAAAAGCGAAAGGGGAGGAAAGUGCUCUAAAGAGUAUAAUGGUAUGUAUAGAGUGUAAGAUAGGUGACCAUAUUACUGAAUUUCUGUUGGAACAUUGAACAGAAGGUUUGCACUGUCAAUGUUUGAGUGACUAGCCACUAUUUAUGCUUUGAUUUUAUGACUUUGGCAACUGUUUUUUCAGAUAACAAUGAGUAAUGUAUCAACUAGUGAUUCUAUGAUGAUAUUUUAAAAUUUGGUAUUAUUCUACCCCUCUUUCCUUUUUUUAUUUUGUUUAAUUUUUUCUUCUUCCUUUGAAAAAAAGAGAAUAAUAUGCAAUAUAACAACCAUUGUUAAAUUUCUUUCAUUCUGUUUUGAAGACCUGUAUUGUUAUUGUUUUGAGUU